rnacentral:rRNA from 1 species
AUUGAACGCUGGCGGCAUGCUUUACACAUGCAAGUCGAACGGUAACAGGCCUUCGGGUGCUGACGAGUGGCGAACGGGUGAGUAAUGCAUCGGAACGUGUCCAGAGGUGGGGGAUAACGCAGCGAAAGCUGUGCUAAUACCGCAUGUGAUCUGAGGAUGAAAGCGGGGGACCAGGCAGCAAUGUUUGGCCUCGCGCCUUUGGAGCGGCCGAUGUCAGAUUAGGUAGUUGGUGGGGUAAAGGCCUACCAAGCCGACGAUCUGUAGCUGGUCUGAGAGGACGACCAGCCACACUGGGACUGAGACACGGCCCAGACUCCUACGGGAGGCAGCAGUGGGGAAUUUUGGACAAUGGGCGCAAGCCUGAUCCAGCAAUGCCGCGUGCGGGAAGAAGGCCUUCGGGUUGUAAACCGCUUUUGUACGGAACGAAAAGGCUCUGGCUAAUACCUGGGGCUGAUGACGGUACCGUAAGAAUAAGCACCGGCUAACUACGUG